AGACGGCAUAGGAUACUGGUGAAAAUAUUCAAUUCUGGAGUCAAAUUGUUCAGGUUAAAAAUCCAAGCUUUGCCUCUAUCAAGUUUUGUGAGCUUUGAAUCAUUAAAGGGAAGAAAAAAACUCAGAUUAAUACUAUGCAAAAGGAGAAUUUGGCUUAGUAUGAAAAAAGAAUUUUUCAGAAUUAUCGAAAUAUCAAAUAGGAUCAUCUUCAAGAAGAAAUUAUUUCUCUGUCUUUAAGGGCAUAGAGACAGAAGCUGAAGGGCCAUUUGGAAGCUUUUCUAAUUCCUGGAAGAAAUGUUGACAAACAAUGAAACACAUAUAUUAGGACAUCAAUGCUUUCCUCACCAGGCAGAAGCAAGCCCCAGUCCAUGCCAGGAAAUUGUUUUUGACUGGCAGACACAACAAUGACAAGAAUCAAGAUUAAGGCCUGUGAGGAAAAUGGAAAUAAAUGCUGAAAAUUCCCCUACCCACCUUGAAAGGCUAACCUGGAGUGAGAGAUUGCUUUCUCAGCUAGAUUUAUCUUUCC